AUUGAACGCUGGCGGCAUGCCUUACACAUGCAAGUCGAACGGCAGCACGGGAGCAAUCCUGGUGGCGAGUGGCGAACGGGUGAGUAAUACAUCGGAACGUGCCCAGUAGUGGGGGAUAACCCGGCGAAAGCCGGACUAAUACCGCAUACGACCUACGGGUGAAAGCAGGGGAUCGCAAGACCUUGCGCUAUUGGAGCGGCCGAUGUCAGAUUAGCUUGUUGGGUGGUAAAAGCCUACCAAGGCAACGAUCUGUAGCUGGUCUGAGAGGACGACCAGCCACACUGGGACUGAGACACGGCCCAGACUCCUACGGGAGGCAGCAGUGGGGAAUUUUGGACAAUGGGCGCAAGCCUGAUCCAGCCAUGCCGCGU
rnacentral:rRNA from 1 species